AGUGAACGCUGGCGGUAGGCCUAACACAUGCAAGUCGAACGGCAGCACAGUAAGAGCUUGCUCUUACGGGUGGCGAGUGGCGGACGGGUGAGGAAUACAUCGGAAUCUACUUUUUCUUGGGUGAUAACGUAGGGAAACUUACGCUAAUACCGCAUACGACCUACGGGUGAAAGCAGGGGAUCUUCGGACCUUUCGCGAUUGAAUGAGCCGAUGUCGGAUUAGCUAGUUGGCGGGGUAAAGGCCCACCAAGGCGACGAUCCGUAGCUGGUCUGAGAGGAUGAUCAGCCACACUGGAACUGAGACACGGUCCAGACUCCUACGGGAGGCAGCAGUGGGGAAUAUUGGACAAUGGGCGCAAGCCUGAUCCAGCCAUACCGCGUGGGUGAAGAAGGCCUUCGGGUUGUAAAGCCCUUUUGUUGGGAAAGAAAAGCAGCAGGUUAAUACCCCGCUGUUCUGACGGUACCCAAAGAAUAAGCACCGGCUAACUUCGUG
rnacentral:rRNA from 1 species